GACGAACGCUGGCGGCGUGCUUAACACAUGCAAGUCGAACGGAAAGGCCCUGCUUGCAGGGUACUCGAGUGGCGAACGGGUGAGUAACACGUGGGUGAUUUGCCCUGCACUUCGGGAUAAGCCUGGGAAACUGGGUCUAAUACCGGAUAGGAGCCAUUUUUAGUGUGAUGGUUGGAAAGUUUUUUCGGUGUAGGAUGAGCUCGCGGCCUAUCAGCUUGUUGGUGGGGUAAUGGCCUACCAAGGCGGCGACGGGUAGCCGGCCUGAGAGGGUGGACGGCCACAUUGGGACUGGGAUACGGCCCAGCCUCCUACGGGAGGCAGCAGUGGGGAAUAUUGCACAAUGGGCGCAAGCCUGAUGCAGCGACGCCGCGUGGGGGAUGACGGCCUUCGGGUUGUAAACUCCUUUCGCUAGGGACGAAGCUUUUUGUGACGGUACCUAGAUAAGAAGCACCGGCUAACUACGUG
rnacentral:rRNA from 1 species